rnacentral:rRNA from 1 species
AGUGAACGCUGGCGGUAGGCCUAACACAUGCAAGUCGAACGGCAGCACAGUAAGAGCUUGCUCUUACGGGUGGCGAGUGGCGGACGGGUGAGGAAUACAUCGGAAUCUACUUUUUCGUGGGGGAUAACGUAGGUAAACUUACGCUAAUACCGCAUACGACCUACGGGUGAAAGCAGGGGAUCUUCGGACCUUGCGCGAUUGAAUGAGCCGAUGAUGGAUUAGCUAGUUGGGUGGGUAAAGGCCCACCAAGGCGACGAUCCGUAGCUGGACUGGGAGGCUGGUAGGCCACACUGGAACUGGGACACGGACCAGGCUCCUACGGGAGGCCGCAGUGGGGAAUAUUGGACAAUGGGCGCAAGCCUGAUCCAGCCAUACCGCGUGGGUGAAGAAGGCCUUCGGGUUGUAAAGCCCUUUUGUUGGGAAAGAAAAGCAGCAGGUUAAUACCCCGCUGUUCUGACGGUACCCAAAGAAUAAGCACCGGCUAACUUCGUG